AUGCGAGAACACGGACGAGAGAAGGGAGCACGCAAGUCUUCUCCAUUCCUCCGUCGUCGAGGCCACCGUUUCCUUCUUUUCUUUCCUGUGGCAUCGGCCCCAAUCUCAUCCCGCCUCCAACUCCUCCGCCUCACAGGCCACGUGCUCAGCACAGGCCGUCGUCCUCGGCGCAAAAGGGGCGCAGUUUGGAGAGACCUAAUCCACAACGCCAUUGACGCUGUCCUCUCCUCGCAUGGCCUACCAAGGUCCGUCUCCUCCAAUUCCUUCAUCUGGAUUCCAUCUCGGAUUUGUCGAAUCCUAUCAUCCCGGAUUCCAUCUCAACCCCUCCCCUCCUCUCGAAGACGGCCAUGGCCGUGCUACGUCUUCCCCACCUUCCUACGUCUUCCGGAUCAGCCUUCGAUCCCUCGAUUUCGUGUGUACUGUGAGCCGCCGCCGAUGUUUAGAACGCAAAUUGAGGGCGAGCUGGGAGGUGACGGAGGUGCGUUGCCGCCGGCUACAUCUUGGCGUCGUCCCUGGUUAGUUCACCUCCGAUGGAUCAUGGGACAUACUUCUAUCUGGCCCUGGCUCUCCCUUCAAGCAUAUCCGUGCGAAGCCGCCGCUUUCAAGUUGCCUGAUGGACGGCAUGGGGGCGUAUGGCGGCUGCAGACGUCGAUCCUCCCUCAUCUUCCCGGAUUCGCCGAAUUGAGAACGAACACAUGCACAUAUGAUUUAUCUAUAAUGAUUAACCUCUGCUUACUGUUUACCCAAAAGGGUUACUCGGUUAGUUUAUACGAGUCAUCCUCAUUAAAGCUCUACUUUACUCACUGGGAAGUGGUGAAUCGCCGUUCCUUGACAUUGUGGCAUAUGCUGGGAUGGGUUUGCCGGUACCUCACUUGCGAUGCUUGUCCUCAUCUUCUGGAGCUACUCAUACUAUUUUGUGCUGCCGUGGUUCUGUAUCUUCUACAGGGUGCAUCGAGGACUUAUGAGAGACAUCCUAGUAGGAACCACUACUUUCUUCUAUUCCUCACGGCUACGCAAUUCCCCAUGCUUUUUUGGCUAGGCAACAUCAAGGGCUGA
rnacentral:rRNA from 1 species